CUACCCGGGUUUCUAAUCCUGUUCGCUCCCCACGCUUUCGCUCCUCAGCGUCAGUGCCGGCCCAGCCCACCGCCUUCGCCACCGGUGUUCUUCCUGAUAUCUGCGCAUUUCACCGCUACACCAGGAGUUCCGUGGGCCCCUACCGGACUCUAGCCAUGACAGUAUCGGAUGGCGACUCCAGGUUGAGCCUGGAGGUUUCACAUCCGACUUAUCAAGCCGCCUACGAGCUCUUUACGCCCAAUGAAUCCGGACAACGCUCGCUCCCUACGUAUUACCGCGGCUGCUGGCAC
rnacentral:rRNA from 1 species